GACGAACGCUGGCGGCGUGCUUAACACAUGCAAGUCGAGCGGUAAGGCCUUCGGGUACACGAGCGGCGAACGGGUGAGUAACACGUGGGUGAUCUGCCCUGUACUUCGGGAUAAGCCUGGGAAACUGGGUCUAAUACCGGAUAUGACCACUUCUCGCAUGGGGGGCGGUGGAAAGCCGUGUGCGGUAUGGGAUGGGCCCGCGGCCUAUCAGCUUGUUGGUGGGGUAAUGGCCUACUAAGGCGACGACGGGUAGCCGGCCUGAGAGGGCGACCGGCCACACUGGGACUGAGACACGGCCCAGACUCCUACGGGAGGCAGCAGUGGGGAAUAUUGCACAAUGGGCGCAAGCCUGAUGCAGCGACGCCGCGUGGGGGAUGACGGCCUUCGGGUUGUAAACCUCUUUCGACUACGACGAAGCGAGAGUGACGGUAGUAGGAGAAGAAGCACCGGCCAACUACGUGCCAGCAGCCGCGGUAAGAC
rnacentral:rRNA from 1 species